rnacentral:rRNA from 1 species
GGAUUCCCCUAGUAACUGCGAGUGAAGCGGGAAAAGCUCAAAUUUAAAAUCUGGCGGUCUUUGGCCGUCCGAGUUGUAGUCUGGAGAAGCGUCUUCUACGCCCGGACCGUGUACAAGUCCCUUGGAACAGGGCGUCAUAGAGGGUGAGAAUCCCGUCCAUGACACGGACCGCCGGUGGUUUGUGAUGCGCUCUCAAAGAGUCGAGUUGUUUGGGAAUGCAGCUCAAAAUGGGUGGUAAAUUCCAUCUAAAGCUAAAUACUGGCGAGAGACCGAUAGCGAACAAGUACCGUGAGGGAAAGAUGAAAAGCACUUUGGAAAGAGAGUUAAACAGUACGUGAAAUUGCUGAAAGGGAAACGAUUGAAGUCAGUCGCGUCGGCCGGGGCUCAGCCUUGCAUCGUUGCUCGGUUUACUUCCCGGUCGACGGGCCAGCGUCGAUUUUGAUCGUCGGAAAAGGGCCAGAGGAAAGUGGCACCUUCGGGUGUGUUAUAGCCUUUGGUCGCAUACGGCGGUUGGGAUCGAGGAUCGCAGCACGCCUCUAUGGCCGGGGCAUUCGUGCCCACGUAUCGUGCUUAGGAUGCUGGCGUAAUGGCUUUAAACGACCCGUCUUGAAACACGGACCAAGGAGUCUAACGUGCCUGCGAGUGUUUGGGUGGAAAACCCGAGCGCGCAAUGAAAGUGAAAGUCGAGAUCUCUGUCAUGGAGAGCAUCGACGCCCGGACCUGAGCUGCUUGCGAGGGAUCUGCGGUAGAGCACGCACGUUGGGACCCGAAAGAUGGUGAACUAUGCCUGAAUAGGGUGAAGCCAGAGGAAACUUGGUGGAGGCUCGUAGCGAUUCUGACGUGCAAAUCGAUCGUCGAAUUUGGGUAUA